GACGAACGCUGGCGGCGUGCUUAACACAUGCAAGUCGAACGGAAAGGCCCUGCUUGCAGGGUGCUCGAGUGGCGAACGGGUGAGUAACACGUGGGUGAUCUGCCCCUUAUUUUGGGAUAAGCCUGGGAAACUGGGUCUAAUACUGGAUAGGACCAUGCUGUAGGUGGUGUGGUGGAAAGAUUAGUUUCGGUAAGGGAUGAGCUAGCGGCCUAUCAGCUUGUUGGUGGGGUAAUGGCCUACCAAGGCGUCGACGGGUAGCCGGCCUGAGAGGGUGGACGGCCACAUUGGGACUGAGAUACGGCCCAGACUCCUACGGGAGGCAGCAGUGGGGAAUAUUGCACAAUGGGCGCAAGCCUGAUGCAGCGACGCCGCGUGGGGGAUGACGGCCUUCGGGUUGUAAACUCCUUUCAGCCAUGACGAAGCCCUUGUGGUGACGGUAGUGGUAGAAGAAGCACCGGCUAACUACGUG
rnacentral:rRNA from 1 species